AGCGAACGCUGGCGGCAGGCUUAACACAUGCAAGUCGAGCGGGCACUUCGGUGUCAGCGGCAGACGGGUGAGUAACACGUGGGAACGUACCUUUUGGUUCGGAACAACUGAGGGAAACUUCAGCUAAUACCGAAUAAGCCCUUACGGGGAAAGAUUUAUCGCCGAAAGAUCGGCCCGCGUCUGAUUAGCUAGUUGGUAGGGUAAUGGCCUACCAAGGCGACGAUCAGUAGCUGGUCUGAGAGGAUGAUCAGCCACACUGGGACUGAGACACGGCCCAGACUCCUACGGGAGGCAGCAGUGGGGAAUAUUGGACAAUGGGCGCAAGCCUGAUCCAGCCAUGCCGCGUGAGUGAUGAAGGCCCUAGGGUUGUAAAGCUCUUUUAACGGGGAAGAUAAUGACGGUACCCGUAGAAUAAGCCCCGGCUAACUUCGUGCCAGCCGCCGCCGUAACAC
rnacentral:rRNA from 1 species